rnacentral:rRNA from 1 species
UGGGGAAUAUUGGACAAUGGGCGCAAGCCUGAUCCAGCAAUGCCGCGUGAGUGAGGAAGGCCUUAGGGUUGUAAAGCUCUUUCGCACGCGACGAUGAUGACGGUAGCGUGAGAAGAAGCCCCGGCUAACUUCGUGCCAGCAGCCGCGGUAAUACGAAGGGGGCGAGCGUUGUUCGGAUUUACUGGGCGUAAAGGGCGCGCAGGCGGCGAUCUUUGUCAGGCGUGAAAGCCCCGGGCUCAACCUGGGAACUGCGUUUGGGACGGGAUUGCUAGAGAUCGGGAGAGGAGAGUGGAAUUCCCAGUGUAGAGGUGAAAUUCGUAGAUAUUGGGAAGAACACCAGUGGCGAAGGCGGCUCUCUGGACCGAUACUGACGCUGAGGCGCGAAAGCGUGGGGAGCAAACAGGAUUAGAUACCCUGGUAGUCCACGCUGUAAACGAUGUGUGCUAGACGUUGGGGAGCCUAGCUCUUCGGUGUCGCAGCUAACGCUUUAAGCACACCGCCU